UAUGAAAUGUUUUUCAUUAAAUUACCAAUCUACAAAAGAAGCCACUUUAAAAAAAUACCUUGUUUUCCAGAAACCAUACCAUUUACUUCUGUGAGAUUUACUUCUGACUUGGACGAAGACACAGUCAGCAAGUAGUGCUUGAAUUCUUCUGAUCUUUCCCAGCAUCUUAUUGAGAUUCUACUGUGCUUCCGGAGCCGACAAUUUGCAGGAUUCCUGGGGGCACCUUCCUACCAUAGAGCCUGCCUGCAACCAGCAUCUGCCCAGAUUCCCUCCACGUGCAGAGCAGGUAAUCAGCUGAGAGGUCAGAUGCUGUCCCUGGUCUCUGCAAGUCUUCUUUGCCUUGACUGAAAAGCCAGCAAUAUUGACCAAAAGCCAGACACAGCUAUUGCAGAGCAAACACUGGUGAGGGUGGGGGAGGGGAAGGUGUAGGGGCUGCGUCUCCACCUGCUGAGGAGAGAGGCUUGGGUUCUGUAGAUCUGAGGUGAGAGAUCUCAUGGUGUGUCUAGCAAGACCAACAUUUUCCCCUCAGGAGAGUUUGUGUCCACCAGGAGCUGUCCCCUAAGAGCUGGAGGGGUCUUCUUUUCUCUGAUGGGCCUGCUGUUCGGCAUCCGGGAUCUGCUUCAGGUUCAGGGAGGCCUAGGGCAUCCCAUGUUCUGUCCCAGCUUCCAGGGCAAGAGCUUUGGUUCCCCC
rnacentral:lncRNA from 1 species